AAUUCCAAGACAUGGUGACAUAAACACAUAUAAAGUAGAUAGUAAUUUCAAUAUUGAAUCUCCAACAUACAAACCUAAUCUACAAGGGCAGAAGUUUUGAUUCACCUAGCUUUCGUUUUCAUUAUCUCAAUAGCAAUCUAGCUAGCUUGUGCGCAGCAAGAGUGUGGAUGAUGUGGUGAUUGAAAAAUGGUAUAAACCCACUCAGCUCUAGUGUCCCUUGCACAAUGUCGACGUCUUCG
rnacentral:misc_RNA from 1 species